rnacentral:rRNA from 1 species
UACGGGGGGGGGCAAGCGUUGUUCGGAAUUACUGGGCGUAAAGAGCGCGCAGGCGGUCGUGCAAGUCGCGUGUGAAAGCCCCCGGCUCAACUGGGGAGGGUCACGCGAUACUGAUCGACUCGAAGGCAGGAGAGGGUAGUGGAAUUCCCGGUGUAGUGGUGAAAUGCGUAGAUAUCGGGAGGAACACCAGUGGCGAAGGCGACUACCUGGCCUGUUCUUGACGCUGAGGCGCGAAAGCUAGGGGAGCAAACGGGG